rnacentral:rRNA from 1 species
AAAUUCUUGGAUUUCCGGAAGACAAACAGCUGCGAAAGCGUCUGCCAAGGAUGUUUUCAUUGAUCAAGAACGAAAGUAAGGGGAUCGAAGACGAUCAGAUACCGUCGUAGUCUUUACUAUAAACGAUGAGGACUGGGGAUCGGGCGAGGAAUUGCGAUGACCCGCCCGGCACCCUCCGGGAAACCAAAGUGUUUGCUUUCUGGGGGGAGUAUGGUCGCAAGGCUGAAACUUAAAGGAAUUGACGGAAGGGCAUCACCGGGUGUGGAGCCUGCGGCUUAAUUUGACUCAACACGGGAAAACUUACCAGGUCAGGACAUAGUGAGGAUUGACAGAUUGAGAGCUCUUUCUUGAUUCUAUGGUUGGUGGUGCAUGGCCGUUCUUAGUUGGUGGAGUGAUUUGUCUGGUUAAUUCCGUUAACGAGCGAGACCUGGGCGUGCUAAAUAGGGGCUACUACCGUUUUUUGGUAGUACGUUCUCCCCUUCUUAGACGGACUGCGGGCGUCUAGUCCGCGGAAGCUCCAGGCAAUAACAGGUCUGAGAUGCCCUUAGAUGUUCUGGGCCGCACGCGUGCUACACUGAGUGGAUCAGCGGGUCAGGUUGCACGAAAGUGUUUCCUAAUCUUGAAAUCCGCUCGUGAUGGGGAUUGAGGGUUGCAAUUUUCCCUCAUGAACGAGGAAUACCUUGUAAGCGCGGGUCAUCAUCCCGCGCUGAAUACGUCCCUGCCCUUUGUACACACCGCCCGUCGCUCCUACCGAUUGAGUGGUCCGGUGAGGCCCUGGGAUUGCUGCGAAGGGAGCGUUUCGCUUGCUUUGUGGCGAGAACUUGGUCGAACCUUAUCAUUUAGAGGAAG